rnacentral:rRNA from 1 species
AGUGAACGCUGGCGGUAGGCCUAACACAUGCAAGUCGAACGGCAGCACAGUAAGAGCUCGCUCUUACGGGUGGCGAGUGGCGGAUGGGUGAGGAAUACAUCGGAAUCUACUUUUUCGUGGGGGAUAACGUAGGGAAACUUACGCUAAUACCGCAUACGUCCUACGGGUGAAAGCAGGGGAUCUUCGGACCUUGCCCGACUGAUUGAGCCGAUGUCGGAUUAGCUAGUUGGCGGGGUAAAGGCCCACCAAGGCAACGAUACGUAGCUGGUCUGAGAGGAUGAUCAGCCACACUGGAACUGAGACACGGUCCAGACUCCUACGGGAGGCAGCAGUGGGGAAUAUUGGACAAUGGGCGCAAGCCUGAUCCAGCCAUACCGCGUGAGUGAAGAAGGCCUUCGGGUUGUAAAGCCCUUUUGUUGGGAAAGAAAAGCAGCAGGUUAAUACCCCGCUGUUCUGACGGUACCCAAAGAAUAAGCACCGGCUAACUUCGUG